rnacentral:rRNA from 1 species
UACAGAGGUCUCAAGCGUUGUUCGGAUUCAUUGGGCGUAAAGGGUGCGUAGGCGGCGCGGUAAGUCGGGUGUGAAAUCUUGGAGCUUAACUCUGAAACUGCAUUCGAUACUGCCGUGCUUGAGGACUGGAGAGGAGACUGGAAUUUACGGUGUAGCGGUGAAAUGCGUAGAUAUCGUAAGGAAGACCAGUGGCGAAGGCGGGUCUCUGGACAGUUCCUGACGCUGAGGCACGAAGGUCAGGGGAGCAAACGGG